CAGAAUGCGACGGCAAAGAAGGGCAAAGGGAAGUGUACAAAGGAAAGGGACAGUGAGAGUGGCCAGGAAGCGACGGCGAAGAAGGGCAAAGGGAAGUGUACAAAGGAAAAGGACAGUGAGAGUGGCCAGGAUGCGACGGCAAAGAAGGGGAAAGGGAAGUGUACAAAGGAAAGGGACAGUGAGAGUGGCCAGGAAGCGCGAAGAAGAAAAAAGGGAAAGGGAAAAGAACUAAGCAAACGGACUAUAGUGAGACCAGUGAGCAUUGAGCAGGAAGAGAACCAACAAGAAGGGUCAGGAGUACACUGACGCGCACGACCAAGACCACUGCAUUCCAUUUCUAUUGUAUUAUAAUUAUCACUAAUAAAGAAUUAAUUCUGUUGAAAUCACUAAUCGCUAU